AUCGCUUCUCGGCCUUUUGGCUAAGAUCAAGUGUAAAAAUUUAUUUAUUUUUGGCUCUGCUGGGUCUUCAUUGCUGCUCACAUUUUUUUCUCUAGUUGUGGCGAGCAGGGGCUACUCUCCAGCUGCGGUGCAUGGGCU
rnacentral:snRNA from 1 species